CGACCCUAUUACCAUCUAUCAUAUCGGUGGGUAUUGAUACUUUCAAAUUGGAGAAUUUCAUGUUAUCCAGGUUUGGUUUAGGAUUGUCACCUAGGUGAAUAUGAAUCUACGGCUAGGGAUGCAGAAUUUUCUGGCUGUUACCCAGGUUUGGUUUUCAACGUAUCCAUUCUGUUCUCUAUCAGCUUGUGUGUUUCUGAUGGCUUCAUGUGGAAUUA
rnacentral:lncRNA from 1 species